CAAACAGCCACAAACCUCGGCAUCAUGUCUCAGGCAGCGGCGUUGCAGUACCACAAGACUUCAGCUUAUCCUACGAUGUCGACCUUGGAGAAAGUUCACCUAUACUAAAAUAUAUUAGCCAUACCCUAUAUCAUGGCUUCUUCAACGUAAUCUCGCCUUCAUCAACAGUGUGGAACUUCGGGAACAUCUGCCGUACGUGACUUCCGCAGAGUAUCAUCGACAUAGUAACGGAACGGAAAUCAGAUGUUCUACAAACAAGGACACCGCACGUUGCUUUCAAUCGGUGUCAAGUAAACCAAGGGCGAAUACCAGCUGAUCCGUGAUGUCAUACAACAUCUUCGAGGGAUUCUCUCAUAUAUACCAGCUAAGUGCAACCAUCGAAGAUGCAAAUCCUCAUCAGAGGCAGACAACCGGAAGAGGAGGAAAAUAAAAGAGAAAGUGCCCAGCCGCCAUGCGUGACCCUGUAGAAAAUGGAGUAGGCAUUUGACUCCCAACGCCAUCUACAAGGAUGCCGAGACUUAGUCCCCCCAAAGUUAUAUGCAGGCCAUGGACUGGCAGUUCUCCCUCAGAAAUGCUCAGUGCUCAGAAGAGCUCACAACUAACCCUGGACACUUGCCGUCCGGUUUGCCUGUCCCUGGUACUCUCCCACAUGUUUUUCAUUGAGCCAUACUCUAUGUAAGUGGCAUCCCCUUCAUUUUCCUCCCUCCCUUGCCAAAGCCCUAUCGGAAGAGGACACCAUCAUCCUGAUGAAGCCGUUAAAGUUGUGAAGGCUAACGUGAUGGGUGAAGGCGGUGUUGAGGGUGAGGCUGACGUUUCAGAAGAGGUCGCUUCUGGAGAUUCCUGCACUUCUGAAAAUUAAGAGGCAGUCAUUUUUUAAGCCAGUUUUUUUAGGUCUCGCAUCAUGUUUUUACAAGUGUUACAAUUGUUUUAUGAACAAAUGGACUAAAGCUACUUUUUCUAAGUCCAAGUGGCAAGUCCCCAGAGUAAUAACUAAAUAUGUGAUCAAUUUCACAAAAAACAUAACAAUGGAAUCUUUACCUGUGGAGGAUACUUGGCAAGAGAACCCCGUGCUUCUCUUUUUGCUCGAGGUUGUUGUAAAUAAAACGGUCAUGGAGUUAUCGCUGCUUUUUACCGAGAUUUUGCUCUUUUUUCCGCAAUACCUGUAAAUAUAAGUGGCAUUACCUUUGUUUUUGCAAUAUUUCGCCAUUCCUAUUUCUUGUAUAUAUUUUACGUCCAGUCAAUAGAAUCAGCUUUGAAAUUUUCCUCUUUUACAUUAUUCUGAUUUUUCUAGAUAAAAAUAAUGAACGAAGCUCCUGAAAUGCACCAAAAAAUACAGGCCCUGGCUAUAGGUCCCGUAAGAAUUUUGAGGUGGACCAGGUUUUUCUUCUGAUCCCAUUAGGCCACCUUAAAGGAAGUUAAAAAUCUUGGGUAGACAUCUGGCAAACCAGUCACAAACUUUUUUAUGACACCUUUUUGUUUUUUUAAAGUAGCACGUAUCAACUCUUGUAGAAUGUUUCUAAUAUUUUCUUUUUACUGCAUAUUUAGCGAACUGGACAUAAAAUUUCUUUCAAUUAUCAAUUAUUUAAUUAUCUAAAACCAUUUUGUUUAUCUGAUUUUUGGGGGUGUGGGAAUUAUUGAAAUUCUAUUUUAUCUUAUUUUUAUUUGGAAAAUGAAUUAUCAAAAUCCUCAAAAUUUUACAGCAGUAGCAAUGAAUAAGAUUUGCUGAUUACAUAUAAAUCUAAGUUUUUACUGUAAUAGGAAUUAUAAGCAGUUCAAAACUCAUAUAUACAUUCAAAUGAUCAUAUUUCUAGUGAAAAUCAAAUAUAGAUUGAUACUGAAUGUUCCAUUUUUGCAAAACCUUGCUUUUCCUUUGUAGCAACAAUAUGCUGGAAUUAACAAAAAUUAAUCAAAUUAUAUAUUUUUAUCAGAUUUGAGUAUGAAUAUAUAUUCAUAAUGGUGUGCCCAUUGAAUUUUGAUUAAUUUAUAAAAGAGAGCACUAAUUAUAAUGCAUAUGCUGUGACAUAACACUUCUUACAAAAAUUUACAAGUGAUCAUGAGUGUCACAAGAUAUUUUGCAUUUACAAUAAUUCGUACAAAAACAUUGUUUCUUCGGCAACUGCAUCGUUGAGUAUGAGAGAACUUGCAAGAACAGGUAAUAAUCAUACUUUCAGGCAUCUCACUGAUGCUAGAAUCAGGAAUAAGAGAUGAAUCAUGGUUACUGACUUUCCAUCCAAUUCCAAUGGAUAUUUUGGUUCAACCACGUUAUACAUGUAUAUAUCACCUAAAAUGAUAGUCUAAGGUGACCUUGCAAAGAAGGGCUUGUGCAAUGCUGAUUUUGUAUAUUCAGAAGUUUGGAUUGGGCCAUUUUUGCAUAUCGGAGAUCAUCCAAAGUGUUGCAUUGUGACCUCAGUUCUAAAGCCUUCACAAGCCUUCGGCAAGCUUGAAGGAUUGGGUAAUGGGAGGAAGAUGUUGACCAAAAUUUAGACAGGUAUUUCUCUGGUUGACCCUUGAGGGUAGAAAGCUUAGUGCCUAUCAUGCUUGUCUGAUCCCGUAAUAAAAUAAGGAGCCAAAAGAGCAUCUUUAGUAGCCUAACUUGCCAACGAGAAUAUUAAUUGGUAUGAUAUCUGAUGCAGAUUUUCUCAUCCAACGUUCAGAGAGUCCAUUAUUAUUAACAUUAUCAUAGAAAUGAAUAAGAAUAGCAAAAAAAUCUGUCGUUAGAAAGCACAAUAACACGUUGCAUCCCUUGUUCGACUGCAUGAAAAACAUGAGGAAUAAUACUUAGGUCAGCUUCCUCUACAUUCGCUGCAAGUGGAUCAUGGAUCACGGAGCUCCGUGAUGGACCCAUCCUUUAUUACUGAUACUGCUAUUAGUCCAUUUCCAAAUCCUUACCACUUAGGAUAGUUUCCCAUUGUUGAUUGAUUCCUACGGUUUUCAUAUAGUCAAUAAAGAAUUCUUGAAUCAAAACUUUCUUGUUAUUUGAUGCCCAAAACCGCUUCAUCUUCACAUGAAGUUUUGUAUAAAUACUGAAGAAAGUCAAUUUACUGGUUCCACAGAUGAUGGUCUUUCCCUUUCACUACUUUUGAUAGAGAAUUUAAGGUAACUAUCAAAAACAUAAUCAAUACGACUAAAUUUGCACACAUUAUUUGUUAAUCAUGUGUGCUGUCAAGGUUUUUAAAGAGGUUACAAAUGUGUUCUUACUUUUAAGAGGCAAAUUGCAAAACUGAUUCAUAGCAUCUAUAAUUAUGGUGGUUUUCAAUAUAACUUCUUUUUCAAAAUUGCUGCCUUUAGGUUCGAAUUUCUUUGUCAGUUCUGACAUGAGUACAGAUUUCAUAGCCUUGGUCGUUGCACCAUUCUCAUCAAAUAAGGAUGACGGUAAAAUAUCACGAGUAAGAAUUUGUGUCAUGUCAGUUCCUCUCUCUUUAACAAUGCCAACUUUCCAAUGAGCCAUCAAAUGAUCUUUUAUAGCAUUUUUAACAGUUUGCUUUUUCUCCUGCAUCCUUGACUGCGGCCGAGAUAUAGUUGGAAAAGUGGGAAGCUUUUGCUGAUGUAUAGUACCUGAAAUAUGUAUUUUCUUGCUUAAAAACCUUUCACCGAUACAUGACGAAUGCUUCUUGUGAUAUCAAAAAAUUUAGUCAUUUCCGGGCAUUUAAGUCUGAAACACACUCGUUAGCUGUAAUGUUGUGAAGCCUUUUUUCGCAUGUUACAGGGUAGGGAUUUUUUCUACUUUCAACAUACAAGAGCAUGUUGGAUAUUGGAUUCCAUUCUACAUCUGAGAGUCCCUGUUAACUCAUGAUGCAUGAUUAGUUCAUAGUCUACCGGCGUAACAUUGGGGAGCUCUUGAAACAUGAGAAAGUUCCCAUUCAGCACUAUACUCUUUCCUUUUUGUUUGACCAAUGAUUCCUCCACUUGAUUUCUGAGAUCGGUUUACCGUUUGUUCAAGGGCCAUGUCAAUAUCUACGGCACUGAACUUUCCUUGCUUUCUUUGAACAACAUUGUUUUUAAACUUCAGGGUGAUUGCCUCGAAAUUAAGCAUUUGUUCAAAGAAUAGAGAACCGUAUCUCAAAUAAUUAACUCUGUCAAAAAUUAGA